UGGGGAAUAUUGGACAAUGGGCGCAAGCCUGAUCCAGCCAUGCCGCGUGAGUGAUGAAGGCCUUAGGGUUGUAAAGCUCUUUUAUCCGGGACGAUAAUGACGGUACCGGAGGAAUAAGCCCCGGCUAACUUCGUGCCAGCAGCCGCGGUAAUACGAAGGGGGCUAGCGUUGCUCGGAAUCACUGGGCGUAAAGGGCGCGUAGGCGGCGUUUUAAGUUGGGGGUGAAAGCCUGUGGCUCAACCACAGAAUUGCCUUCGAUACUGGGACGCUUGAGUGUGGUAGAGGUUGGUGGAACUGCGAGUGUAGAGGUGAAAUUCGUAGAUAUUCGCAAGAACACCGGUGGCGAAGGCGGCCAACUGGACCAUCACUGACGCUGAGGCGCGAAAGCGUGGGGAGCAAACAGGAUUAGAUACCCUGGUAGUCCACGCUGUAAACGAUGAAUGCCAGCCGUUGGGGGGCGUUGGCCUUUCAGUGGCGCAGCUAACGCUUUGAGCA
rnacentral:rRNA from 1 species